GCCACGUCACUGUAUUUUGUCGCGAAUUUCAAGCUCCUGGAAUGCUCCUGAUGCAGGACGAAUACAAGGUCAUUAUAGAUCUCCCAGGCAUAUGCAGUCCUCCUGCAGUAUGCCACAUAAUGCCCAAGAGAAUCCUGGGUCAGUCCUGGUUCAAAGGCAAUGACUGCUCUCAAAGUAAAAGUCUUCUCUUUUAGCUCCAGACUGGAGGGAAAUUCAAGCAAGGCAACUUCCUUGCAACUGCUACCAAGGUCAGUGUCAAU